UGUGAAGAAAUGUCACUGCGAAAAUUUUGAAGAUUGCAAAACAGCAGCCACUUAGUCACAUUCUUAAGAUUUGGGAUUCACCAUCAGUACCUUCAACGCUUGCAUCUUCAUCGCCAGGAGCACCAUUAAAACCUUCUGCCCUCAGCUUCUUCAUCGCCAGGAGCACCACCAGUACCUUCUAUCCUCAGCUCCUUCGUCGCCAGGAGCACCAUGGGUACCUUCCGCCCUCAGCACCUUCAACGCCAGGAGCACCUUCAAAGUGUAGGUCCAACUUGUCAAAUUUUGCAAAGUUGUAAGAAAACUUAAUUUUUCUGAACCACCAUAAAUGAUUUGCAACUCUU